AAUGAACGCUGGCGGCGUGCUUAACACAUGCAAGUCGAACGAGCAAAAGGAAGCUUGCUUCCUGGCGCGAGUGGCAGACGGGUGAGUAACGCGUGGGCAAUCUACCUCCGUGUGGGGAAUACCGCCUGGAAACGGGUGUUAAUACCGCAUAAAAUUUUCGAGGUUUCGAUCUUGAUAAUCAAAGCUUGGGAUCUUCGGACCAGGCGCAUGGAGAGGAGCUCGCGUUAGAUUAGCUAGUUGGUGAGGUAAUGGCUCACCAAGGCGACGAUCUAUAGCCGGCCUGAGAGGGUGAUCGGCCACACUGGAACUGAGACACGGUCCAG
rnacentral:rRNA from 1 species